rnacentral:rRNA from 1 species
GACGAACGCUGGCGGCGUGCCUAAUACAUGCAAGUAGAACGCACAGUUUAUACCGUAGCUUGCUACACCAUAGGCUGUGAGUUGCGAACGGGUGAGUAACGCGUAGGUAACCUGCCUGGUAGCGGGGGAUAACUAUUGGAAACGAUAGCUAAUACCGCAUAAUAUUAAUUAUUGCAUGAUAAUUAAUUGAAAGGUGCAAUUGCACCACUACCAGAUGGACCUGCGUUGUAUUAGCUAGUAGGUGAGGUAACGGCUCACCUAGGCGACGAUACAUAGCCGACCUGAGAGGGUGAUCGGCCACACUGGGACUGAGACACGGCCCAGACUCCUACGGGAGGCAGCAGUAGGGAAUCUUCGGCAAUGGACGAAAGUCUGACCGAGCAACGCCGCGUGAGUGAAGAAGGUUUUCGGAUCGUAAAGCUCUGUUGUAAGAGAAGAACGGGUGUGAGAGUGGAAAGUUCACACUGUGACGGUAUCUUACCAGAAAGGGACGGCUAACUACGUG